rnacentral:rRNA from 1 species
AGGUAAUAGAUACCCGGGUAGUCCACGCCGUAAACGGUGGGUACUAGGUGUGGGUUUCCCUUCCUUGGGAUCCGUGCCGUAGCUAAACGCAUUAAAGUACCCCGCCUGGGGAGUACGGCCGCAAGGCUAAAACUCAAAGAAAUUGACGGGGGCCCGCACAAGCGGCGGAGCAUGUGGAUUAAUUCGAUGCAAACGCGAAGAACCUUACCUGGGUUUGACAUGCACAGGACGCCAGUAGAGAUAUUGGUUCCCUUGUGGCCUGUGUGCAGGUGGUGCAUGGCUGUCGUCAGCUCGUGUCGUGAGAUGUUGGGUUAAGUCCCGCAACGAGCGCAACCCUUAUCUUAUGUUGCCAGCGCGUAAUGGCGGGGACUCGUGAGAGACUGCCGGGGUCAACUCGGAGGAAGGUGGGGAUGACGUCAAGUCAUCAUGCCCCUUAUGUCCAGGGCUUCACACAUGCUACAAUGGCCGGUACAAAGGGCUGCGAUGCCGUGAGGUGGAGCGAAUCCUUUCAAAGCCGGUCUCAGUUCGGAUCGGGGUCUGCAAC